rnacentral:rRNA from 1 species
UACGGAGGGUGCGAGCGUUAAUCGGAAUUACUGGGCGUAAAGCGCGCGUAGGCGGUUUUGUAAGUCGGAUGUGAAAACUCCAAGCUCAACUUGGAGCCUGCAUCCGAAACUGCGAUGACUAGAGUCUGGUAGGGGAACACGGAAUACCUGGUGUAGCGGUGAAAUGCUUAGAUAUCAGGUGGAACACCAGUGGCGAAGGCGGUGUUCUGGGGCCAGUACUGACGCUGAGGCGACGAAAGCGUGGGAGCGAACAGG